rnacentral:lncRNA from 1 species
AAAUACCGUGAUUGUUCUUAAAGAUCUUACUUACAUGAUGCACACCUUCCUGGAAAUGAUACUUAGUCAAGAUGAUAUAACAAUUGUAAAUAUAUAUGCACCCAACACUGGAGCACCCAGAUAUAUAAAGGAAAUAUUGUUAAACCUAAAGGGAUAUUGGUCUAAAAUUCUCUUUUUUGUUGUGUCUCUGCCAGGCUUUGGUAUCAGAAUGAUGCUGGCCUCGUAAAAUGAGUUAGGGAGGAUUCCCUCUUUUUCUAUUGAUUGGAAUAAUUUCAGAAGGAAUGGUACCAGCUCCUCCUUGUACCUCUGGUAAAAUUUGGCUGUGAAUCCAUCUGGUCUUUUAUUGCAUGUAUUUGAUUCUUCUCUCUUUUCUUCUUUAGUAGUCUUGCUAGAGGUCUAUCAAUUUU